UACGUAGGGGGCAAGCGUUGUCCGGAUUUAUUGGGCGUAAAGAGCGUGUAGGCGGCCAGGUAGGUCCGUUGUGAAAACUCGAGGCUCAACCUCGAGCUGUCGAUGGAAACCAUCUGGCUAGAGUCCGGAAGAGGAGAGUGGAAUUCCCGGUGUAGCGGUGAAAUGCGCAGAUAUCGGGAAGAACACCCGUGGCGAAGGCGGCUCUCUGGGACGGUACUGACGCUGAGACGCGAAAGCGUGGGGAGCGAACGGG
rnacentral:rRNA from 1 species